rnacentral:lncRNA from 1 species
UUCGGUUUAAGCUUGAUUUCAGAGGGUCAUCAGCCUAAGCAACAUACAUCCUUGCAUUGUUCAUAAGCUAUAAACUGAUUAUAUAUGAAAUGAGAAAGUCCUGCUCAGCUAACUAUAUGUUGCAUGCUGGUUUCUUCUAGCUGGAAACUGCUGAAUAUUGGAUUAUCUGGUAUCAGCCGCAAGGUAAACACUAAGCUUGAUGCUGAUGUAAUGUAUGGGAUUUAUUUGGCGGAUGGCAUUUCACUCGUUGCUAGUUGUCUCUCCAGGUAAGCUACCGUGACUUUGAUGUAUUACUGGCGCCUAGUGGAUUGGAGAGAAUAGACCCUCUUGAGAAGACAGAGAAUGAAUGACUUG